GAGUUUGAUCAUGGCUCAGAUUGAACGCUGGCGGCAUGCCUUACACAUGCAAGUCGAACGGCAGCACGGGAGCAAUCCUGGUGGCGAGUGGCGAACGGGUGAGUAAUACAUCGGAACGUGCCCAGUAGUGGGGGAUAACUACUCGAAAGAGUAGCUAAUACCGCAUACGACCUGAGGGUGAAAGCGGGGGAUCGCAAGACCUCGCGCUAUUGGAGCGGCCGAUGUCAGAUUAGCUAGUUGGUGGGGUAAAGGCCUACCAAGGCAACGAUCUGUAGUUGGUCUGAGAGGACGACCAGCCACACUGGGACUGAGACACGGCCCAGACUCCUACGGGAGGCAGCAGUGGGGAAUUUUGGACAAUGGGCGCAAGCCUGAUCCAGCAAUGCCGCGUGCAGGAAGAAGGCCUUCGGUUGUAACUA
rnacentral:rRNA from 1 species